GGAGGCGCGGGUGCACUUAGGUCAGGAGCCAGGUGGCCUGGGAGGCCACAUCAUGGACUGGGCCACCGAGGAGUGCGAGCUCAAUGGCGAGCUGCACCCAGGUUCGCCCAGCUCCUCCACGGCCUCGCCUCCCCCCUGGGGCCCAUCAACUUGAACCAUUAUGGCAACAAGAAGAGUGUGUCCGAGAGCAUGCUGGACAUUGCCCUGUUGAUGGCCAGUGCGUCCCAGCUGAAGGCCGUGGUGGAGCAGGGUCCUGCCUUUGCCUUCUUCGUGCCCCCAGUGGUCCUCAUCUCCGUCUCCCUGGUGCUGCAGAUCGGCGUGGGUGUGCUGCUCAUCUUCCUCCUCAAGUAUGACCUAAACAAUCUAGCCAAACAUGCGAAGCUGGACUUCCUGAGCAACCACGGGCCUGGUAUUCAUCAUCGUGGUGAUCAACAUCUUCAUCACAGCUUUCGGGGUCCAGAAGACUAUAAUUAAUGUGGCAUCCCGGUAAGAGAGAACCCAGAACCUUGAAUGCCACCUGUCCCACAGCCCAGCCACCAGAAACUGCAAGUCCUGAAGGCAUCCCAACUCCAUGUGCAGUACUUCUGGAAAUGGCCAAAGCCCAAACUGGCUUUUGCUGGGCCAUGUCCUGGGACCUGCCGA